CAUUUCCACCAAUCACACUCAAUUUUGCGUUUCAUCCUUGCGCAGGGGCCAUGCUAAUCUUCGCUGUAUUGUUCCGAUUUUAGUAUAUGUUCAGAAAUGAAC